UAAAGAUACAUGGAGCACAAGUCCGGAGGCCGGGCGAACGGAUUCUACCUGGAUAUCACGGGAUACUUGUUGUAAACUUACUCAGACUGCUUUCCAUGUAGCAACCGACUAGGAUUAUAUCCUAUCUGAUUUUAACCCUAGGUCGUCAAGCUAUAUAAGUCACCAGGGACGCCUCCAGACUCCCGAGAUCAUCUCAACUCUCCGCAUACCAUACCAGCAAUACAAUCCACCAGAAUACAGGACAUAGAGUAUUACUCUCUGGAGGCCCAAACCUGUCUAAACCUUGCACGCCUGUGUUACCUUUUGAGUUCUUGGUCUCACGAUCUCCCCCCUACAAAUCUACCACCUGGGUAACCCCUUGGUGGACUGCCGGUCAUUAAAUCCGACAAGAACCUUAUCCACAGUGGUUGACUCUGGUCAAAAACCGGUGUCAACACAUGCCCCCCAAUUUUGGAAUAUAUAAUCUGGUUCCAAAAUUCUCUUCUCUUGUCAACACCUUCACAGGUCCCGAGCCGAUAUCCUUCCAAGACUAAAAAGAGUCAUUGCCAUAAUUAUGACCUCAUCCUCCGGGUUUUAUGAAAGCAUUCCCCCAUUUUUCAGGAUUCACCCUACAAAGAUCAUUAUAUAACCGCUCUAGUCCCUUUCAUCUUCUUCACCAAGCCGAUGGAAGUCUUUCACCGCCACAGCCAAAAAUUGAAUCUUUCCCUUCACGAACC
rnacentral:lncRNA from 1 species